rnacentral:piRNA from 1 species
UAUUUCCAAGUUGGGUCGUAAGAGUGUA